UCAGGUUGUCCGGAUGGUUGAAGGGAGAGGGCGGGGAAGCCAGUUAAGGGGGCCAAAGCAGGUGCCCAUGGAGACAGAGCCGGGCCUGCCCUGAAGUCUCUGCUGCUUCCUGCUCUCUGGAGAGCCUUCUGUUCCCCAGGUCCAUGUGUCAGCCAUGCGCCCCACGGACGAGCCCCCGUCCCACCUGGGCCCCUCACUGCUGCUGUUGCUGCAGCUGCUGGGCCCCGCAGCUGCCUUCUUCCCCAAUAUCUGGAGCCUCCUGGCUGCCCCCGGCUCCAUCACCCACCAGGACCUGACCGAGGAGGCGGCACUCAACGUCACCCUGCAGCUCUUCCUGGAGCAGCCGCCCCCAGGUCGGCCCCCCCUUCGCCUUGAGGACUUCCUGGGCCGCACUCUCCUUGCCGACAACCUCUUUGCCGCCUACUUCGGACCUGGGUCUCCUUCCCGGCGGUUCCGAGCAGCCUUAGGAGAGGUGUCUCGUGCCAACGCCGCCCAGGACUUCCUGCCGACUUCCAGGAAUGACCCUGACUUGCACUUUGAUGCCGAGCGGCUGGGCCAGGGGCGCGCACGCCUGGUGGGAGCUCUAGGGGAGACUGUGGUGGCGGCCAGAGCCCUUGACCACAGCCUGGCCCGCCAGCGCCUCGGGGCUGCGCUUCAUGCCUUGCAGGAUUUCUACAGUCACAGCAACUGGGUGGAACUGGGGAAGCAGCAGCCACACCCUCACCUCCUCUGGCCAAGGCAGGGGCUGCGGAACCUGGCGCAAGUGGGCGAUCCUACCUGCUCCGACUGUGACGAGUGGAGCUGCCCUGGGAAUUUGCUGGGCUUCACACUCCUCACCUCUGGCUACUUUGGAACUCAUACCUCCAAACCUCCAGGGAAAUGUAGCCAUGGGGGCCAUUUUGACCAGAGCAGCUCCCAGCCACCACGGGGAGGCAUCAACAAGGAUAGCACAUCCCCAGGCUUCUCCCCACACCACAUGCUGCACCUCCAGGCUGCAAACCUGGCCCUUCUGGCCUCCAUCCAGGCCUUCAGCCUCCUACGAAGCCGCCUGGGAGACAGGGGUUUCUCCAGGCUGCUGGACAUCACCCCAGCCUCCAGCCUGAGCUUCGUCCUGGAUACCACAGGAAGUAUGGGCGAGGAGAUCAAUGCUGCCAAAAUCCAGGCUCGCCACAUUGUGGAGCAGCGACGGGGCGGCCCCAUGGAGCCCACCCACUAUGUCCUGGUGCCUUUCCAUGACCCAGGGUUUGGCCCCGUCUUUACAACCAGUGACCCUGACAGCUUCUGGCAACAACUCAAUGAAAUACAUGCCUUGGGAGGUGGAGAUGAGCCCGAGAUGUGCCUGUCAGCCCUGGAGCUGGCCCUGCUACACACACCUCCACUCUCAGACAUCUUCGUCUUCACUGACGCCUCCCCCAAGGAUGCCUUUCUCACCAACCGGGUGGAAUCUCUGACUCAGGAGCGGCGUUGCAGAGUCACAUUCCUGUUGACUGAAGACCCAUCUAGGGUUCAGGGCCGACCUCGGCGUGAGGUCUUGUCCCCUCUGCGUUUUGAGCCGUAUGAAGCGGUGGCGCUGGCCUCAGGAGGAGAGGUGAUCUUCACCAAAGACCAGUACAUUCAGGAUGUGGCAGCCAUUGUUGGGGACAGCGUAGCUGACCUGGUGACCCUUCCCUUGGAGCCUCCUGUUGUGGUGCCUGAGAGGCCACUUGUGUUCAGUGUGGAUGGGCUGCUCCAGAGGGUCACAGUCCGGAUCCAUGGGGAGCUCAGCAGCUUCUGGAUCAGAAACCCUGCAGGGGUCUCCCAGGGCCAGGAGGAAGGUGAGGGGCCUCUAGGUCAUACUCGCCGCUUCGGGCAGUUCUGGAUGGUGCGCAUGAAUGACCCCCUGCAGACAGGAACCUGGGAGAUCCAGGUCACAGCCAAGGGUACCCCCCGGGUGAGAGUACAAGCCCAGACCUCCCUGGAUUUCCUCUUCCACUUUGGGAUCCCCAUGAAGGAUGGACCCCACCCUGGCCUCUACCCCCUGACUCAACCAGUUGCAGGUCUCCAUUCCCAGCUGCUGGUAGAAGUGACAGGGCUGGGCUCCAGAGGAAACCCUGGAGAUCCUCUGCCGCAUUUCUCCCACGUCGUCCUUCGAGGGGUCCCGCACGGUGCCGAGCUGGGCCGGGUGCCUUUGGAGCCCAUGGGACCCCGGGAGCGAGGUCUCCUCGUUGCCUCGCUACCGCCCACGCUUCUGUCCACCGCGGGACCCUUCUCUCUGGAGCUGAUUGGCCAGGACGGAGUGGGGCAGGGCCUGCACCGGGUGGCCCCCCAGCCCUGUGCUGUAGUUCCUGUCCUUCUAGAGGUGAGAUGCCAGCGGAAGGUGCGGCUGCGGCUGGAGAGAACAGGGCCUGCUGCUCCUCCCCUGACCGGCCCUCCUCCGCAGCUCAGUGGUCCCCCGGGUUUCCUGGCGCCGGGCACCGAGGCCCCGCUCAGCCUCCGCAUUGCCAGCUUCUCGGGCCCUCAGGAUCUCGAUCUUAGGACAUCCGUCAACCCCAGCUUCGCUCUCACCUCCAACCUCUCCAGGGUUCGCCUGGAACAGAAUGAGUCCGCCUGGGGGUGCCUGUGGCUGAAGGUACCAGACACAGCCGCCUCAGACUCCGUGGUGAUGGUGACUGUGACCGCGAUGAAUCGAGAAGCCAGCACAGUACCCUCGACCCAUGCCUUCCUCCGGCUCCUGGUGCGGGGCCCCACCCCGCAGUGUUAUUGAGACACAGAAUCUCCAGUAUGGAAGAAUAUUGAAGAGGAUAAAAAUGGAAUAUACAAGUUCCUAGGUCUGUCCACAGAAAAGGCCUACAAGCAAUAAUCCAAACAUGCUGAGUACCCUCUAGCACUCACUGUGGUAUACAGAAAUACCAUUUCUCACUAAAAGGAACCAGGGCUCCUCAGAGAAAUGUCUGGUUCCAGGUCAGAACCAGUACGUGUAAGUGGUAUAUCUGGUACAUCUUGUCAAACCAGAGAGUGGGGAAGCUAUCCAAGUCUACUAGUGUCAUGUUAAAGGACUCAGAAGCCAACAUGAAGAGGCUCCCAUUGGCUAAAGAUGGAAUAUCUCGAACAUGUGUAAAGAUUAAAAAUGCAGUGGCCUGAAGCAUGAAGAAAUCUGUAAGUUUGUAAUGAUACUAAAACAACAACAGCAACCAAAAAAACUCAUUGGUUGCCUUGGUGGAUUAUGGAACUAAUUUCGUAUUUGCUGAUAGGUGGACAGAUAAAAUCAGGGGGAAAAAAUCAAGCAAUGUUCUGUGAUAUCACUAGGUAACCAAAGAGUAGAUGAGAGGAAGUCUUCCUUCCAGAAACAUUCUAAUAAAUGAAGAAAGAAUGACAGAAUUAGAAUAACACUACUUUGCAAUCUCUAAAGAACUAAUGGACUUAAACAUUAAACAUCAAAUACUGCUAUCAUCACAAAAGGAGAGUCAGACAUACUGACAUUAUGUUCCUCCAUUUAUGAAACACUAUUGAAAAAAAUUAAACUUGAACCUGAGCAAGCUUCUAGAUUCAACUAUUAAUUUACAGAAAUUCUAGAAGAGAGAGAAACAUGUCAAAAACAGGGAAUGUGGGCUUCCCUGG